UUCAGUUUUCACUAAAAACAAAACAAAACAUCAAAUUAUAUCUACGAAUUAUGAUUCACUGUGGUGCUUAUAAAAAAACUCUACAAGCAAGAGCACAUUUAUUAGCCAGAGGAGUAAGUGAGUUCAGUUUUCACUGAAAAUCUGCUUUAUUUCCAUAUUACCUGCUGAUGUCUUCAUACAAACUGUUUUUUCUGUGUUCUUGGUUU